rnacentral:rRNA from 1 species
CAGUAACGGCGAGUGAAGCGGCAACAGCUCAAAUUUGAAAUCUGGCUCCUUCGGGGCCCGAAUUGUAAUUUGUAGAGAGUGCUUCGGGCGAGACCUCGGUCUAAGUCCAUUGGAACAUGGUGUCAUAGAGGGUGAGAAUCCCGUAUGCGACCGUGGCUCGAGCCCAUGUGAAGCCUCUUCGACGAGUCGAGUUGUUUGGGAAUGCAGCUCAAAAUGGGUGGUAAAUUUCAUCUAAAGCUAAAUACUGGCUGGAGACCGAUAGCGCACAAGUAGAGUGAUCGAAAGAUGAAAAGCACUUUGGAAAGAGAGUCAAACAGUACGUGAAAUUGUUGAAAGGGAAGCGCUUGCAACCAGACCUGCCCGUAGGCGAUCAGCCGCUGUUCUCAGCGGUGUACUCGCUCUGCGAUCAGGCCAGCAUCGGUUUCGGCGGUCGGAUAAAGGCCUUGGGAAUGUAGCUUCCCUUCGGGGGAGUCUUAUAGCCCUCGGUGCAAUGCGGCCAGCCGGGACCGAGGACCGCGCUCCGGCUAGGAUGCUGGCGUAAUGGUUGUAAGCGACCCGUCUUGAAACACGGACCAAGGAGUCUAACAUCUAUGCGAGUGUUUGGGUGUCAAACCCAUACGCGGAAUGAAAGUGAACGGAGGUGAGAACCCUCAAGGGCGCAUCAUCGACCGAUCCAGAUGUCUUCGGAUGGAUUUGAGUAUGAGCAUAGCUGUUGGGACCCGAAAGAUGGUGAACUAUGCCUGAAUAGGGUGAAGCCAGAGGAAACUCUGGUGGAGGCUCGCAGCGGUUCUGACGUGCAAAUCGAUCGUCAAAUUUGGGUAUAGGGGCGAAAGACUAA